GGGAAGGUGGCUCAGUAGUAGAGUGCUUACUUUGCAUGUAUGAGGCACUGGGUUCAAUUCCUCCAUACCA
rfam:Dipodomys ordii contig_87330, whole genome shotgun sequence.